AAAUAGAACUUUGCAGAGAGAGUUAACAGGGCGUGAAACCGUUAAUUGGCAAACGAAUCGGAGCCACGAAGUCGUUUCGUUGUUAGUUGGUGGCGGAGUUCAGUUCGUCUGGCGCAAGCUGGACGGGCGUAUUCUCACGCUCAACUAUCUUUGUAAGCGUACACUGCAACCAGUUAGACGAUCAGUCAUGGGCUGAGUGUCGCUCGUGGUAGUAGUAGCGCGGCUGGGCCUCGGCCCUCCUCGUGUUGCUGGCCACGCGGCGAGUGAACUAUGCCUGAAUACUGACUGGCGAAAUGAAAACCGUUGAAAAACGUUAGAGAAAACGCGGUUGGCUGCAUGAGCGCCUACACGCUCGACUGUCGAGUCUAAGCUUGGCGUCUUCGAAUUCAGACUUGCUUGCUACCAGUGGGGCAACCCCUGGUGCUUGUAUAGCUUCUGUCUAAUCGGGCGUCGACUUGGCGCGGCAUCGUUCGGGCGUGCUGUGAUUGGGUGCCCAUGUAAGCUAAUUCGCAACUUGAAUUGGCAGUGAGUAGGUCGGCUUUCCGAAC
rnacentral:rRNA from 1 species